GACGAACGCUGGCGGCGUGCUUAACACAUGCAAGUCGAACGGAAAGGCCCUGCUUUUGUGGGGUGCUCGAGUGGCGAACGGGUGAGUAACACGUGAGUAACCUGCCCUUGACUUUGGGAUAACUUCAGGAAACUGGGGCUAAUACCGGAUAGGAGCUCCUGCUGCAUGGUGGGGGUUGGAAAGUUUCGGCGGUUGGGGAUGGACUCGCGGCUUAUCAGCUUGUUGGUGGGGUAGUGGCUUACCAAGGCUUUGACGGGUAGCCGGCCUGAGAGGGUGACCGGCCACAUUGGGACUGAGAUACGGCCCAGACUCCUACGGGAGGAAGCAGUGGGGAUUAUGGAACAAUGGGCGGAAGCCGGAUGAAGCAACGCCGCGGGCGGGAUGACGGCCUUCGGGUUGUAAACCGCUUUCGCCUGUGACGAAGCGUGAGUGACGGUAAUGGGUAAAGAAGCACCGGCUAACUACGUG
rnacentral:rRNA from 1 species